rnacentral:rRNA from 1 species
UACGAAGGGUGCUAGCGUUGUUCGGAAUUACUGGGCGUAAAGGGCUCGUAGGUGGCCAACUAAGUCAGACGUGAAAUCCCUCGGCUUAACCGGGGAACUGCGUCUGAUACUGGAUGGCUUGAGAUUGGGAGAGGGACGCGGAAUUCCAGGUGUAGCGGUGAAAUGCGUAGAUAUCUGGAGGAACACCGGUGGCGAAGGCGGCGUCCUGGACCAACACUGACACUGAUGAGCGAAAGCCAGGGGAGCAAACGGG